CCUACGGGAGGCAGCAGUGGGGGAUAUUGCACAAUGGGGGAAACCCUGAUGCAGCGACGCCGCGUGGGUGAAGAAGUAUUUCGGUAUGUAAAGCCCUAUCAGCAGGGAAGAAAGAAGACGGUACCUGACUAAGAAGCCCCGGCUAACUACGGGCCAGCAGCCGCGGUAAUACGUAGGGGGCGAGCGUUAUCCGGAUGCACUGGGGGUAAAGGGCGGGUAGACGGCCGUGCAAGCUAGGAGUGAAAGCCCGGGGCCCAACCCCGGGACUGCGCUGGGAACUGGGCGGCUGGAGGGUGGGAGGGGCAGGGGGAAGUCGUGGUGUAGCGGUGAGAGGGGUAGAUAUCGGGAGGAACAACGGCGGCGAGGGCGGCCUGCUGGAGCGGGACUGACGUUGAGGCUCGAAAGCGUGGGGAGCGAACAGGAUUAGAUACCCCGGUAGUC
rnacentral:rRNA from 1 species